rnacentral:rRNA from 1 species
AAACUUAAAGGACUUGACGGGGGCUCACACAAGCGGUGGAGCAUGUGGAUUAAUUCGAAGCAACGCGUAGAACCUUACCUGGGUUUGACAUGCAGGUGCUGCAUAGCUGUCGUCAGCUCGUGUCGUGAGAUGUCGGGUUAAGUCCCAUAACGAGCGAAACCCUUGCCGUUAGUUACGACUCUAACGGGCCUGCCGGUGUUAAACCGGAGGAAGGUGGGGAUGGCGUCAAGUAAUGAUGGCCGUUAUGCCAAGGGCCUCACACGUGCUAUAAUGGUGACUACAAAGCGACGCAAGACCGCAAGGUGGAGCAAAUCGCAAAAAAGUCGCCCCAGUACAGAUUGUAGGCUGCAACUCGCCUGCAUGAAGGCGGAAUCGCUAGUAAUCGCGUAUCAGCCUGACGCGGUGAAUGUGUUCCUGAGCCGUGUACACACCGCCCGU